ACCGAAAUAGCUCAGUUGGAAGAGCGUUAGACUAUAGAUCGAAAAGUCAACUGGUUCGAUCCCGGGUUCCGGCA
rnacentral:tRNA from 1 species